rnacentral:rRNA from 1 species
AAUCAACGCUGGCGGCGUGCCUCAGACAUGCAAGUCGAACGAGAAGUCCCCUUCGGGGAUGGAAAGUGGCGCACGGGUGAGUAACACGUGGGUAAUUUACCUUUGGGUGGGAACAACAGCCGGAAACGGCUGCUAAUACCGCAUAAUGCAGCGGCUCGACAUCGAGACAGUUGUUAAAGCGGGGAUCGCAAGACCUCGCGCCUAAAGAGAAGCCCGCGGCAGAUUAGCAG